AACCUACGGGACGCAGCAGUAGGGAAUCUUCCACAAUGGACGAAAGUCUGAUGGAGCAACGCCGCGUGAGUGAAGAAGGGUUUCGGCUCGUAAAGCUCUGUUGGUAGUGAAGAAAGAUGGAGGGAGUAACUGGCCUUUAUUUGACGGUAAUUACUUAGAAAGUCACGGCUAACUACGUGCCAGCAGCCGCGGUAAUACAUAGGUGGCCAGCGUUGGCCGGAUUUAUUGGGCGUAAAGCGAGUGCAGGCGGUUCAAUCA
rnacentral:rRNA from 1 species